rnacentral:rRNA from 1 species
GACGAACGCUGGCGGCGUGCUUAACACAUGCAAGUCGAACGAAGAGCGAUGGAAGCUUGCUUCUAUCAAUCUUAGUGGCGAACGGGUGAGUAACGCGUAAUCAACCUGCCCUUCAGAGGGGGACAACAGUUGGAAACGACUGCUAAUACCGCAUACGAUCUAAUCUCGGCAUCGAGGAUAGAUGAAAGGUGGCCUCUACAUGUAAGCUAUCACUGAAGGAGGGGAUUGCGUCUGAUUAGCUAGUUGGAGGGGUAACGGCCCACCAGGGCGAUGAUCAGUAGCCGGUCUGAGAGGAUGAACGGCCACAUUGGGACUGAGACACGGCCCAGACUCCUACGGGAGGCAGCAGUGGGGAAUCUUCCGCAAUGGACGAAAGUCUGACGGAGCAACGCCGCGUGAGCGAUGACGGCCUUCGGGUUGUAAAGCUCUGUUAAUCGGGACGAAAGGCCUUCUUGCGAAUAGUGAGAAGGAUUGACGGUACCGGAAUAGAAAGCCACGGCUAACUACGUG